GUGGCAUCGCCGCCUUUGGCUAAGAUCAUGUAGUAUCUGUUUCUAUCAGUUUAAUAUCUGAUAAUGCCCCCUAUCUGGGGACCAUAUAUUAAAUUGAUUUUUUGUCAUGCAUGGAAUAGGGCUUGCUCCGCCCACUCCCACGACGACCUGGUAUUGCAGCAUCUAUAGGAGCUGUGUGCACUUU